rnacentral:rRNA from 1 species
UACGGAGGGUGCAAGCGUUGUCCGGAUUUAUUGGGUUUAAAGGGUGCGUAGGCGGCCCUGUAAGUCAGCGGUGAAAUCUCCGGGCUCAACCCGGAAACUGCCAUUGAUACUAUUAGUCUUGAAUGUUGUUGAGGUGGGCGGAACGGGUCAUGUAGCGGUGAAAUGCAUAGAUAUGACCCGGAACACCGAUUGCGAAGGCAGCCCACUAAGCAACUAUUGACGCUGAGGCACGAAAGCGUGGGGAUCAAACAGG